rnacentral:rRNA from 1 species
CUACGGGUUGCUGCAGUGGGGAAUUUUGCGCAAUGGGGGCAACCCUGACGCAGCAAUACCGCGUGAGUGAAGAAGGCUUUUGGGUCGUAAAGCUCUUUAUCUUAAGGAAGAAAUAUGACGGUACUUAAGGAGUAAGCACCGGCUAACUCCGUGCCAGCAGCCGCGGUAAUACGGAGGGUGCAAGCGUUGUUCGGAAUCACUGGGCGUAAAGAGUGCGUAGGCGGUUUAAUAAGCUAAAUGUGAAAUCCCCAAGCUUAACUUGGGAAUUGCAUUUAGAACUGUUAAACUAGAGAUGUUUAGAGGUAGAUGGAAUUUCUGGUGUAGAGGUGAAAUUCGUAGAUAUCAGAAGGAACACCCGUAGCGAAGGCGGUCUACUGGAAACAAUCUGACGCUGAGGCACGAAAGCAUGGGUAGCAAACAGGAUUAGAUACCCCAGUAGUC